CAAAGUCGAGCGCCCCGCAAGGGGAGCGGCAGACGGGUGAGUAACGCGUGGGAAUGUACCCUUUGCUACGGGAUAGCUCCGGGAAACUGGAAUUAAUACCGUAUGUGCCCUUCGGGGGAAAGAUUUAUCGGCAAGGGAUCAGCCCGCGUUGGAUUAGCUAGUUGGUGGGGUAAAAGCCUACCAAGGCGACGAUCCAUAGCUGGUCUGAGAGGAUGAUCAGCCACAUUGGGACUGAGACACGGCCCAAACUCCUACGGGAGGCAGCAGUGGGGAAUAUUGGACAAUGGGCGCAAGCCUGAUCCAGCCAUGCCGCGUGUGUGAUGAAGGCCUUAGGGUUGUAAAGCACUUUCACCGAUGAAGAUAAUGACGGUAGUCGGAGAAGAAGCCCCGGCUAACUUCGUGCCAGCAGCCGCGGUAAUACGAAGGGGGCUAGCGUUGUUCGGAAUUACUGGGCGUAAAGCGCACGUAGGCGGAUAUUUAAGUCAGGGGUGAAAUCCCAGAGCUCAACUCUGGAACUGCCUUUGAUACUGGGUAUCUUGAGUAUGGAAGAGGUAAG
rnacentral:rRNA from 1 species